rnacentral:sRNA from 1 species
CACCGAGUCCGAGGUUCCGGCGCUCACCGGAGCCUGGUGCAAAAGGGA